GGGGGUAUGGCGCAGCUGGUAGCGCGUCUGCAUGGCAUGCAGAAGGUCACGGGUUCGAGUCCCGUUACCUCCACCG
rnacentral:tRNA from 1 species